rnacentral:rRNA from 1 species
UACGGAGGGUGCGAGCGUUGUUCGGAAUCACUGGGCGUAAAGCGCGUGUAGGCGGCCCACUAAGUCUGAUGUGAAAGCCCGGGGCUCACCCCCGGAAGUGCAUUGGAAACUGGUGGACUCGAGUCCCGGAGAGGAGAGUGGAAUUCCUGGUGUAGCGGUGAAAUGCGUAGAUAUCAGGAGGAACACCGGUGGCGAAGGCGGCCAUCUGGACGGUGACUGACGCUGAGGCGCGAAAGCGUGGGGAGCAAACAGG